AAUAUCCAUGUCUGGCCGAUUUCCUAAAGCAAACACAGAUGAUCGCAACUCUUCCUCCGUCACUCUUCGUCUCCUAGACACUCCGACCACUCCCUGAAACGUAAUACGUUUCCGUAUUAUGUCUUUCAAUUUCAGCAGUUACUUCGAACCCUCUACUCAUCCUAUUCUCUCUCAAUCAAACAUGUUAUUAUCAUCAAAGGUAACCGCUUGAAGCUCUCGAGUAUAAAUGUAUUUCUUCUAUGCGGUGAAGCCAAUCAGUCUUCCACCUUCCCAUACGAGACAAACCCUAAUCGCCAAAGAUGACUUACACUCGCGACUCCGCUCACGCUUCACCUUCGCGAUGAUGUCAAGCCAUCAAGAUCACCCACGGUUCCCACUAACUCUUCUUCAGUGGAGGGCCCACGAAUCCAAGGGUCAGCACCGUCUUAGCUCCUACAAGCAUACCUUGGAAGAAGACACUGUGUAUAAGCCGAGUGGUUUCUAUUUUGGAAGAAGCAAUCCGACUGACAAGUUUUCUGAUGCGCCAUUGUCUAUUAGAUUCACUGAGCCAAUCCCCACGGAGUUCUUCAGGUUCACUUGCCAAUAGCGACACUCACUUUACAUAUACCAUUGGAGAGGUUAGGGGCAUCAAAACCCUUUACAACCAAGCCACCAGAGCACUCAACACCUCAUCGCAACCUUAAAACUUGAUAUUUUGAUAGGAACACUCCUGUCUGUCUGAGGGUUUUAUGACAGUUUCCCUGCAGACCUUGAUAAAAGAUUAUUGAGCUUUGGUGUUGAACCGUAGAUGGAUAUUGCAACAAAUAUUAACCCAUUUUUUUUGAGUUACAACAACGGAGAAGGCACAGAUCGCACUGGAGUUGUUGAGGGAUAACAAGAACAAGUUUAACCUCCUGAUCAGCGAUGUUGACGUGCCAGACAUGGAUGGGUUCAAGCUUCUUGGUCUUGAAGUGGACUUACCUAUCAUUCUGUUAUCUGCGCAUAGCCAUCCAAAGUAUGUGAUGGAAGGAGUCAAGCACGGUGCCUGCGACUAUCUCCUUUAAAUCAGUUCUAAUUGAGGAGCUCAAGAAUAUAUGGCAACAUGUGGUGGGGAAAAGCAUGUUUAAGAAGAUGAAAAGCAUUUUGACUAACGGGUAAUACCAAGGAAACUCAUGAUCAGAACGGCGUGAAGGCAAACAGAAAACGUAAAGAUCUGCUUGAAGUGGAAAUGAAAACGAUGAUACAACGCUCAAAAGAAGCCUCAUGUUAUUUGGACGUGAGAGCUGCAGUAUAAGUUCCUAGCAGCUGCUAAUCAUGUGGGCAUUGAGAUUAACGUUUGUUGAUCUCUCAUAUACUACACCAGGCCUUCAAGAAUUCAUAUAGCUGACUAUAACACAGACCACCACACUUUAUCUGGUUUUCAAAACACUGGUGAGUUCUCCAAUUUGUUGUACUUUUUGAUACAUCCGAUAUAUGAACUUUAACCUGUAACGGCGACACUCAAGAAUCCAAUUAGAUUAUUGCAUACGCAAUGACCCUCCUCUUUCUUCCAUUUUAAAGCAAUUUAAGAGUCUAAACUAGAAUUUAAAGCUCUCCUUCUGAUGAUCUUAUCGGUCUACUGUCUACAAAUUCUCAAGAUCGUAAUCAAAAACAUGUUUGUCAACUUAUCCGUACGAUGUUUUGUUGCAUGAAGCGCAUAUGUUGCAAGAUGCGCUACAUGUGCACAAACGCAAUCCAUAAUAAAAAAACAUACAACACAAUAACCUAAAAAGCAUAAGCUCUCUCAACUAUACAAACACACAUAAUAAAACAAACAAAUGUAUAACAAAUAAUUUAAAACAAAAUGGACAAACCACUAGAACGAUCUUGAAAAAAACCUCUUCUCCUCACGGUAUGUUUCAAGAACUCAACCUCUCCCUUGGAAAACAAAGCCCAAAUCAAAGUAUCCUAAACCAUGCAAACUAAACGUCCAAACGGAUGAUCAACACAUAGCUUGCCUCAUUAAAAAAAGCCCUUAAAACACUUCCAAAAUAUAAGACUCCGGACCGAAGUCUAAACAAAAAUCCACCUGAAAAUGAAAUCAGUAGAGACAAAUUGAAUAAAUUAAGCUCAAAACAAUUGCAGCAUCUGAUUUAAUAGAAAAAUAAAUAAUCAGCAGUGCUUUAUUUGAACCAGUGAGAACAAUUAGAAACAACUGCCAUAGCUGUUUCCAAGAAAAGAAAAACAGAAAGUGGGAAUAGACACCAAUAGUCAAACUAUAUAGUUACCAAUCAACUAACUAUCCAUUAGUUAUUUACGAGUAGGAGCAACUUAUUCAAACAAUAGAGGAUUUACA